AGUGAACGCUGGCGGUAGGCCUAACACAUGCAAGUCGAACGGCAGCACAGUAAGAGCUUGCUCUUACGGGUGGCGAGUGGCGGACGGGUGAGGAAUACAUCGGAAUCUACUUUUUCGUGGGGGAUAACGUAGGGAAACUUACGAUAAUACCGCAUACGACCUACGGGUGAAAGCAGGGGAUCUUCGGACCUUGCGCGAUUGAAUGAGCCGAUGUCGGAUUAGCUAGUUGGCGGGGUAACGGCCCACCAAGGCGACGAUCCGUAGCUGGUCUGAGAGGAUGAUCAGCCACACUGGAACUGAGACACGGUCCAGACUCCUACGGGAGGCAGCAGUGGGGAAUAUUGGACAAUGGGCGCAAGCCUGAUCCAGCCAUACCGCGUGGGUGAAGAAGGCCUUCGGGUUGUAAAGCCCUUUUGUUGGGAAAGAAAAGCAGCAGGUUAAUACCCCGCUGUUCUGACGGUACCCAAAGAAUAAGCACCGGCUAACUUCGUG
rnacentral:rRNA from 1 species